GGACCCAUAGCUCAGCGGUAGAGCGUCGGCUUCCAGUCGCUCUAUAAACAGGAAAAUUCCGAAGGUCAUCCGUUCAAAUCGGGUUGGGUUCA
rfam:Pseudozyma brasiliensis GHG001 unplaced genomic scaffold PSETBRA_SCAF3, whole genome shotgun sequence.